rnacentral:rRNA from 1 species
AUGGCAGAGAUUGUGAUUAUUCAGGCCAUUAAAAAGAUAGGAAAGGCCUUAGCAAAUGGAGUAGCAGAUCCAGCCAGUACCCAGUUAGCGAAGUACAAGACACAACUAAUAGAGUUACAGGGCAGCAUGGGUCGCAUUGCGAGGGAGCUUCGUGUAAUGCAUGACGUUCUUUGUGAAAUGGACAUUCGAAACCGCAGCAAUCAAGUAUAUGAGGGCUGGUUGGAGGAGGUUCGGAAGGUUGCACAUGUAAUGGAGGACAUGGUAGAUGAGUACCUAUAUCUACUUGGUCAGGACCGUGAUAUAGGGUGUUGCUUUUACGUGAAGAAAGGGUUAAGAAAACCAAGAUCUCUACUUUCUCUGAACCGGAUAGCUUUCAAGGUGAAACAAAUAGAGAAAGACCUCACACACCAGUCAGAGACUAAAAACCGUUGGCUUCCCAUGAUAAACACUGGGGAUCCUAGCAGCUCGAAUUACAUUGUCAAGAGGUCCCAAGAUCUAGCGAACACUUCAUGA